rnacentral:lncRNA from 1 species
GGGGGAGGACGGACAGCAUUACGGGUUGGGGUGAUGGGGAAGGGAAGAAAGGGAGCAGGAAAGAGGAAAUAGGAGCGGGGAGUGUCUAUAGGUACAGAUUGGGUGAUGGGGAAGGAAGAAAAGGAGCAGGAAAGAGGAAAUGGGAGCGAGGAGUGUCCAUAGGUACAAAUUGGGUGAUGGGGAAGGAAGAAAAGCAGCAGGAAAGAGGAAAUAGGAGCGGGGAGUGUCCAUAGGUACAGAUUGGGUGAUGGGGAAGGGAAGAAGGGCAGCAGGAAAGAUAGGAAAUAGGAGCAAGGAGAGUCCAUAGGUACAGAUUGGGGUGAUGGGGAAGGGAAGAUGUGAAGCAGGAAUGAUAGGAAAUAGGAGCGAGGAGUCUCUAGAGGUACAGAUUGGGUGAUGGGGAAGGGAGAAAAGGAGCAGGAAAGAGGAAAUGGGAGCGAGGAGUGUCCAUAGGUACAGAUUGGGUGAUGGGGAAGG